UACGGAGGGGGCUAGCGUUGUUCGGAUUUACUGGGCGUAAAGCGCACGUAGGCGGAUCGUUAAGUCGGGGGUGAAAUCCUGGAGCUCAACUCCAGAACUGCCUUCGAUACUGGCGAUCUUGAGUCCGGAAGAGGUGAGUGGAACUCCUAGUGUAGAGGUGGAAUUCGUAGAUAUUAGGAGGAACACCAGUGGCGAAGGCGACACACUGGUCCGGUACUGACGCUGAGGUGCGAAAGCGUGGGGAGCAAACAGG
rnacentral:rRNA from 1 species